rnacentral:rRNA from 1 species
AUUGAACACUGGCGGAAUGCUUUACACAUGCAAGUCGAACGGCAGCACGGACUUCGGUCUGGUGGCGAGUGACGAACGGGUGAGUAAUAUAUCGGAACGUGCCCAGUCGUGGGGGAUAACGUAGUGAAAAUUACGCUAAUACCGCAUACGAUCUACGGAUGGAAGCGGGGGAUCGCAAGACCUCGCGCGAUUGGAGCGGCCGAUAUCAGAUUAGGUAGUUGGUGGGGUAAAGGCCCACCAAGCCAACGAUCUGUAGCUGGUCUGAGAGGACGACCAGCCACACUGGGACUGAGACACGGCCCAGACUCCUACGGGAGGCAGCAGUGGGGAAUUUUGGACAAUGGACGCAAGUCUGAUCCAGCCAUUCCGCGUGCAGGACGAAGGCCUUCGGGUUGUAAACUGCUUUUGUACAGAACGAAAAGGUUUCUAUUAAUACUAGGAGCUCAUGACGGUACUGUAAGAAUAAGCACCGGCUAACUACGUGCCAGCAGCCGCAGUAA